UGGGGAAUAUUGGACAAUGGGCGCAAGCCUGAUCCAGCAAUGCCGCGUGUGUGAAGAAGGCCUUCGGGUUGUAAAGCACUUUUAUCAGGAGCGAAACGCUGUCGGCUAAUACCCGGCGGAAACUGACGGUACCUGAGGAAUAAGCACCGGCUAACUUCGUGCCAGCAGCCGCGGUAAUACGAAGGGUGCAAGCGUUAAUCGGAAUUACUGGGCGUAAAGCGUGCGUAGGCGGUUUCUUAAGUCUGCUGUGAAAUCCCCGGGCUCAACCUGGGAAUGGCAGUGGAUACUGGGAGGCUAGAGUGUGUCAGAGGGUGGUGGAAUUCCCGGUGUAGCGGUGAAAUGCGUAGAGAUCGGGAGGAACAUCAGUGGCGAAGGCGGCCACCUGGGACAACACUGACGCUGAGGCACGAAAAGCGUGGGGGAGCAAAACAGGAUUAGAUACCCUGGUAGUCCACGCCCUAAAACGAUGCGAACUGGAUGUUGGUCUCAACUCUGAGAUCAGUGUCGAAAGCUAACGCGUUAAGUUCGCCGCCUGGGGAGUACGGUCGCAAGACUGAAACUUAAAUGAAUUGAC
rnacentral:rRNA from 1 species